rnacentral:misc_RNA from 1 species
CUGAGUGAGGGCCUCUGGCCCGACCUCCCACCCUAUGUUGUUUGACUAUGUUGCCUCGGGGGCGACCCGGCCUUUUCGGUCGGGGCCCCCGGUGGACUCUUAAACUCUGCAUCUUAGCGUCUGAGUAUAAAGUUAAAUCAAUCA